rnacentral:tRNA from 1 species
AAGAGAGACAUUAGAACUGCUAAUUCUUACCACCGACACUAAACCUUCGGAUCUCUUA